ensembl:lncRNA
UAGAAGUCUGAUGUCCCUUUAUACCACAGGCUGGACAGUCCAUGUCCUUACAACAGCAGGUAGAAGUCUGAUGUCCCUUUAUACCACAGGCUGGACAGUCCAUGUCCUUACAACAGGCUGGACAGUCCAUCUCCUUACAACAGGCUGGACAGUCCAUGUCCUUACAACAGGCUGGACAGUCCAUGUCCUUACAACAGCAGGUAGAAGUCUGAUGUCCCUUUAUACCACAGGCUGGACAGUCCAUGUCCUUACAACAGCAUGUAGAAUCCAUGUCCUUACAACAGCAGGUAGAAGUCUGAUGUCCCUUUAUAUCACAGGCUGGACAGUCCAUGUCCUUACCACAGGCUGGACAGUCCAUGUCCUUACACCAGCAUGUAGAAGUCUGAUGUCCCUUUAUACCACAGGCUGGACAGUCCAUGUCCUUACAACAGGCUGGACAGUCCAUGUCCUUACAACAGGCUGGACAGUCCAUGUCCUUACAACAGCAGGUAGACUGGAUAUUAUCCCCCUAUGUCUUAUUACCUGUUCUGUCUGGAUGUAACAGGCUGACUAGUAAAUUACAUGUCUUUGGCCCCAUUACACUAAAAACUUGUCCUCAACCAUGUAAUUUACAAUUACAAAAUAUUCAAACCGUUCUGAAUAUGAGCUCCACUGCUCAAUGGUUCCAUCAA